UACGAAGGGGGCUAGCGUUGCUCGGAAUGACUGGGCGUAAAGGGCGCGUAGGCGGAUUGUACAGUCAGGCGUGAAAUUCCCGGGCUCAACCUGGGGGGCUGCGCUUGAGACGUGCGAUCUUGAGUGGGGGAAGAGGGUCGUGGAAUUCCCAGUGUAGAGGUGAAAUUCGUAGAUAUUGGGAAGAACACCCGUGGCGAAGGCGGUUCUCUGGGACGGUACUGACGCUGAGACGCGAAAGCGUGGGGGAGCGAACAGG
rnacentral:rRNA from 1 species